GUCAAACUUUUACAAGACGAAAUGAAGAUGCGGGUUUUUAUAUAAAAAGAGCCGGUGAAAUGAAUAAUAAAAACUAAGAUAUAAUCCUGUAUGAAAUAUUGACACUAAACAAGGAUUAGAUACCCUUCUAUACAAUACUUAUCUUAACUGCAGGGGACUAAAACCAAAAAGGUUAAAACCCAAUCAACAUGGCGGUAAUCUCUGAACUUAGGGGAACUUACCUAGUAAAUGAUAACCACCAAGGUAACGCAACUUACAAAAAAUCUUGUAUGCCGUCGUCGUCAGGUAACACUUGAUGUUUUACCAGUGUAAUCACUUAAAAAGACAGAUCAAGGUGCAGACGAUUUGUAUGAAAAGGCGAGUUACAAUUGUAGAAACAUGCAACUAACUUUGUUAUAAUAGGUUAGAUGACGGACUUAAUAGUAAUUAGGAUUAAAUUUACAUUGUGAAUUAAAUGAGAUUGUGCACAA
rnacentral:rRNA from 1 species